CCCAGACUCCUACGGGAGGCAGCAGCGAGGAAUAUUGGUCAAUGGGCGAGAGCCUGAACCAGCCAAGUCGCGUGAAGGAUGACGGCCCUACGGGUUGUAAACUUCUUUUGUCAGGGAGCAAUUGGGUCCACGCGUGGGCUUAGCGAGAGUACCUGAAGAAAAAGCAUCGGCUAACUCCGUGCCAGCAGCCGCGGUAAUACGGAGGAUGCGAGCGUUAUCCGGAUUUAUUGGGUUUAAAGGGUGCGUAGGCGGUUUGAUAAGUUAGAGGUGAAAUGUCGGGGCUCAACCCCGAAACUGCCUCUAAUACUGUUGGACUAGAGAAUAGUUGCGGUAGGCGGAAUGUAUGGUGUAGCGGUGAAAUGCGUAGAUAUCAGGAGGAACACCGGCGGCGAAGGCGGCCUGCUGGACCGCUACUGACGUUGAGGCUCGAAAGCGUGGGGAGCGAACAGGAUUAGAUACCCUCGUACG
rnacentral:rRNA from 1 species